rnacentral:rRNA from 1 species
UACGUAGGGUGCAAGCGUUGUCCGGAAUUAUUGGGCGUAAAGAGCUCGUAGGCGGUUCGUCGCGUCGGCUGUGAAAUCCCGAGGCUCAACCUCGGGUCUGCAGUCGAUACGGGCGGACUGGAGUUCGGCAGGGGAGACUGGAAUUCCUGGUGUAGCGGUGAAAUGCGCAGAUAUCAGGAGGAACACCGGUGGCGAAGGCGGGUCUCUGGGCCGAUACUGACGCUGAGGAGCGAAAGCGUGGGGAGCGAGCAGG